AUCCAGGAUCAAAGAUAAACUAGAGAACCAGGGACAGCAGAGAAAGACCUGCUCCGGGAUAUGAUCCAACGUUAAACCCUAAGGCCACUCAUCCAACCAGGCACCUAACAUGAGUCAUAGGCAGACACCGAGGCCCCAGGGUUUCCUGAUAAGCAGAAUUCAUGAGAGCUCUGCUGUGUGAGGUCAGGAAAUCCUGCACAAACAGGCCACACCAGCUUGCCACCUGUGCAUUUCAAACAGAGACUUAUUGUGACUAUGUGGAAAUACCACGACUUGGACAGCUGCACACGGGACAAAGAAGGGCUGG